rnacentral:rRNA from 1 species
UACGAAGGGGGCGAGCGUUGUUCGGAUUUACUGGGCGUAAAGGGCGCGCAGGCGGCGCAUUUUGUCAGGCGUGAAAUCCCCAGGCUCAACCUGGGAACUGCGUCUGAUACUGGAUGGCUCGAGUUCGGGAGAGGGAAGCGGAAUUCCAGGUGUAGCGGUGAAAUGCGUAGAUAUCUGGAGGAACACCGGUGGCGAAGGCGGCUUCCUGGACCGACACUGACGCUGAGGCGCGAAAGCUAGGGGAGCAAACGGG